rnacentral:lncRNA from 1 species
GGGACAUUCUCAAGUGUCCCAAGACAUCAGUCACUUCAGACACAUUUGAUAAUCUGCAAGAUGUCCCCAUGACUCUAUGCCUGGAGGUCACAGCAUAGCAGCAGAGGAGUUGAUUAGAGACUGUUGUCACACGGUUGCAUCCAGGUUGUUGCAAGAGAUUGACUGCAAGGCAGUCAUCCAGCUCACACUCCUGGUAUGGUUUGAGUUGGCUAAGGGACCAGUGAGAACCCUGGGUUCCCAUCAUGCUACUGUCUUCUUGCUAUGGACUGGCUACACAGUAUGAGCAGCUACGGUUCCUCUUGGUGGGUGGUGCAAAUCAAAUAUAAGACAUGGGUACAGAAGACCAGGAAGUGUUUGCAUCACAAGCACAUGACGAGUGGCAGAUGCAUUUCAGCAACCUUAUUCUGCUCUGCGCAGCGGGCAAGGCCAAGAGAGCCAUGUGUUCAGGAAUGUGUGGCCCUAUCUGGCUGAUUGAUCUCUGUCUCUUGGCUCAAAGUCUAGUAAGAGAAAUUCAAGCAGUGUAACAGGAAAGCAAUAGAAUUGGAAAUUAAGUUCCUAUCACAGUCUCAGGAGCUCAUGUGCUGCCUUGGAUUGAAGAAAUGCCCCUCUUAGGCCUUUAGUUUCCGGUGGUUUUAGCCCCCAAGUGCUUCCAUAAUAUUCUACAAGGAGCUCAAACCUUUAUUCCGAGAAUGGGGAGCUGGCACCUGGCUGCACAGAAUUUACAUGGGAUGGCUUUGGUUUCCCGCAAUGACACUCCCACACUGGGUGGAAAGGCCAGCUCAUGAGGAGGUUCCAGGAUUCCAUGCCUUCCCCCUGUCUAACCUCAGUUUGUACCAGUAUCUAUUCAACUCACUUUGUUCCUCCAG